rnacentral:rRNA from 1 species
AGUCGAGGGGCAGCAUUUCAGUUUGCUUGCAAACUGGAGAUGGCGACCGGCGCACGGGUGAGUAACACGCUAUCCAACCUGCCGAUAACUCGGGGAUAGCCUUUCGAAAGAAAGAUUAAUACCCGAUGGUAUAAUCAGACCGCAUGGUCUUAUUAUUAAAGAAUUUCGGUUAUCGAUGGGGAUGCGUUCCAUUAGGCAGUUGGUGAGGUAACGGCUCACCAAACCUUCGAUGGAUAGGGGUUCUGAGAGGAAGGUCCCCCACAUUGGAACUGAGACACGGUCCAAACUCNUACGGGAGGCAGCAGUGAGGAAUAUUGGUCAAUGGGCGCAGGCCUGAACCAGCCAAGUAGCGUGAAGGAUGACUGCCCUAUGGGUUGUAAACUUCUUUUAUAUGGGAAUAAAGUUUUCCACGUGUGGAAUUUUGUAUGUACCAUAUGAAUAAGGAUCGCCUAACUCCGUGCCAGCAGCCGCGGUAAUACGGAGGAUCCGAGCGUUAUCCGGAUUUAUUGGGUUUAAAGGGAGCGUAGGUGGACAGUUAAGUCAGUUGUGAAAGUUUGCGGCUCAACCGUAAAAUUGCAGUUGAUACUGGCUGUCUUGAGUACAGUAGAGGUGGGCGGAAUUCGUGGUGUAGCGGUGAAAUGCUUAGAUAUCACGAAGAACUCCGAUUGCGAAGGCAGCUCACUGGACUGCAACUGACACUGAUGCUCGAAAGUGUGGGUAUCAAACAGGAUUAGAUACCCUGGUAGUCCACACAGUAAACGAUGAAUACUCGCUGUUUNGCGAUAUACAGUAAGCGGCCAAGCGAAAGCAUUAAGUAUUCCACCUGGGGAGUACGCCGGCAACGGUGAAACUCAAAGGAAUUGACGGGGGCCCGCACAAGCGGAGGAACAUGUGGUUUAAUUCGAUGAUACGCGAGGAACCUUACCCGGGCUUAAAUUGCAUUUGAAUANUNUGGAAACAGNUUAGCCGCAAGGCAAAUGUGAAGGUGCUGCAUGGUUGUCGUCAGCUCGUGCCGUGAGGUGUCGGCUUAAGUGCCAUAACGAGCGCAACCCUUAUCUUUAGUUACUAACAGGUCAUGCUGAGGACUCUAGAGAGACUGCCGUCGUAAGAUGUGAGGAAGGUGGGGAUGACGUCAAAUCAGCACGGCCCUUACGUCCGGGGCUACACACGUGUUACAAUGGGGGGUACAGAAGGCAGCUACCUGGUGACAGGAUGCUAAUCCCAAAAGCCUCUCUCAGUUCGGAUCGAAGUCUGCAACCCGACUUCGUGAAGCUGGAUUCGCUAGUAAUCGCGCAUCAGCCAUGGCGCGGUGAAUACGUUCCCGGGCCUUGUUNAAAGGNGCCCGUCAAGCCAUGAAAGCCGGGGGUACCUGAAGUACGUAACCGCAAGGAGCUCCUAGG